ACGUGAACAGGGCGGCUUCCCACGCGCUCUGGAGCUAGGAGGACCCCGGCGGCUUGCUGGUCUGCCAUCCUGGAGCGCCACCGAAUAGGUGCUACGAGCGCGCGCGGGCCCCCGAGAGCGGCUGGAAGCCGUGGACCGUUGGUAGAGUGAGAGGCCGCUUCUGGCCAUGUCUGCAGCAGCUCGUGGCCAGCAAUUCCCCUGAGCUGGUUGUGCACUGCUUGACCUCCGCUUUCUGACUCCUGCCAGAUUCGGGGGUCACAGUCGCAAAGCUGUGUGCCCUCCGCCAUGUGGGCCCACCACAGAGCAGCCCUGGCGGCCGGAGCUCCAAAGCUAGAAGCCUUGUCAGAUGAGGCAGUGGCCACAGUGCCCAGCCUUCUGGCCCCACAGUACACCCUCAGGCGCGCAACCUGCUGUCCCUGAGCUGGGUUCGAGCUCUGAACCAAGCCAGUGCCUCAGGACUGUGGACUCCUCAACUAGUGGAGACAGCGCUGUGGACCUGGGCCGUGGGGCAGAGGCUGUCCCCACACCUGUUGCCCAAACUUGGCCCCAGCCUGGCCACCCACAAGGAUGCUAGGCCAGCCAAGAAGCGCAGGACCCAGGCUGAGUGGACUCAGCUAUGGCCCUGGCUCACUCACCCGCCACACAACCUCAGGCCUCGGGUGUCACUGGAUGCCAGAGAGGCCGCCACCAUGGGAGCUCAAUAAACACUCACCAAACUC